rnacentral:misc_RNA from 1 species
AGAAUAAUAUUCAAAUAAGAUACAAUCCUAAGGGAGAAGCAAUAUGACUCAUACAUGAAUUACUAACUUGUAGUAAUUUAAGAGUGGUUUAACUCCAACUUUUAUACAGUAACCUAAACUCAUCCUCCAAAAUAAAUUGCCAGUUAAGAAGAAAGACCAUAUCCCACAAUAUGCUUAUGCGGAUAUCUAAAGAGUGGAGAACAAGGUCCAAG